rnacentral:lncRNA from 1 species
CAAACUUCUACCACGUGCAGUUUUAGAAGAAUGUACAGAUUCCUCAGAUGUUGCUUUAGCCUGUUUGCCUCCCCUGCAAUUUUCACAUAGCCCUUUGGAUUGAUGAGUCAUUGUGGACGUCUUGCCUAAGCUUCUAGCUCAGCAACUUUCUAGGAGGUUUUCUUCAGGAUCCCAUCUGAUGUCCCACUGGACUCUCAGGAAGAAGCCCUCCCCAAAAUCGAUCCUCAACCUCCUGUCAGUUACUCUGAAAAGAGGACCACCUUCCACUCUUCAAGCUCUCCUCCCAUCAUUCUUCAUGGCCAACUCAUGCACAACCAAGACUGAUAUUCAGUUGAUUUGCAGAUGAAACUGGGAAAGUUCAAGAUAACCCUGGGCCAAG